GAUGAACGCUGGCGGCGUGCCUAAUACAUGCCAGUCGAGCGAACAGACGAGAAGCUUGCUCCUCUGACGUUAGCGGCGGACGGGUGAGUAACACGUGGAUAACCUACUUAUAAUACUGGGAUAACUUCGGGAAACCGGAGCUAAUACUGGAUCAUAUAUUGAACCGCAUGGUUCAAUAGUGAAUGACGGUUUUGGUGUCACUUAUAGAUGGAUCCGCGCCGCAUUAGCUAGUUGGUAAGGUAACGGCUUACCAAGGCAACGAUGCGUAGCCGACCUGAGAGGGUGAUCGGCCACACUGGAACUGAGACACGGUCCAGACUCCUACGGGAGGCAGCAGUAGGGAAUCUUCCGCAAUGGGCGAAAGCCUGACGGAGCAACGCCGCGUGAGUGAUGAAGGUCUUCGGAUCGUAAAGCUCUGUUAUUAGGGAAGAACAGAUGUGUAAGUAACUAUGCACGUCUUGACGGUACCUAAUCAGAAAGCCACGGCUAACUACGUG
rnacentral:rRNA from 1 species